rnacentral:rRNA from 1 species
UCCCAGCAGUCCAAGUCGCAACCACAUUUAUUGGGUCUAAAACAUCCGUAGCUUGCUUCUUAAGUCUCUUGUGAAAUCUGGCAUCUUAAGUGUCAGGCGGGCAAGAGAUACUGUUUAGCUAGAGACCGGAAGACGCGGUGAGUACACCUGAGGUAGUGGUAAAAUACGUUAAUCUCAGGCGGACUAACAAUUGGCGAAGGCACGCCGCGAGGACGGAUCUGACAGUGAGGGAUGAAGGCCAGGGG